rnacentral:rRNA from 1 species
GAUGAACGCUGGCGGCGUGCCUAAUACAUGCAAGUCGAGCGAAUGGAUUAAGAGCUUGCUCUUAUGAAGUUAGCGGCGGACGGGUGAGUAACACGUGGGUAACCCGCCCAUAAGACUGGGAUAACUCCGGGAAACCGGGGCUAAUACCGGAUAACAUUUUGAACCGCAUGGUUCGAAAUUGAAAGGCGGCCUCGGCUGUCACUUAUGGAUGGACCCGCGUCGCAUUAGCUAGUUGGUGAGGUAACGGCUCACCAAGGCAACGAUGCGUAGCCGACCUGAGAGGGUGAUCGGCCACGCUGGGACUGAGACACGGCCCAGACUCCUACGGGAGGCAGCAGUAGGGAAUCUUCCGCAAUGGACGAAAGUCGGACGGAGCAACGCCGCGUGAGUGAUGAAGGCUUUCGGGUCGUAAAACUCUGUUGUUAGGGAAGAACAAGUGCUAGUUGAAUAAGCUGGCACCUUGACGGUACCUAACCAGAAAGCCACGGCUAACUACGUGCCAGCCGCCGCCGCAG